rnacentral:lncRNA from 1 species
ACCCAUUAAGAUAAUCGUAAUGACCCUACUAGACUCUUAUUUGAGACAAAAAUAAAUAAAAAGAUCCUAGGAACCACAACGCAAUUAGCCUAAAAUACACAUUUAGACCUAGACUAGACCUAUAUAAUAGGCGUAACACCUAAAAAGGGGAAUACACAAAAAUAUGCCUAGAAAAGGCCUAGGGAAAAAGCUAUAGCAGCUGCGACGCUAAUCUUCAGCCAAGGGACCCGACCCCCUGUUCUCCAUCUUCUUCAAGCAGCCAUUUUAAUGGCUGAUUCUUAACUAAAAGAAAUAACCAUCAGCGGCCGUUUUCAUCGAGAAACCCAGGCUCCUCACAAAAAGAACGAAAUUCCAAAAAAAAGCUUCAGCCGUGAUCUCCUUCUCCAUUAUACACCAACUGGCGAAGCCCACCAAAAAUCAAGUCCCUUCAUUGCCAUCGUCUUCACAAAACACACAUACAGAUGACCUCCCUCUUUAACCAACAACACCAGCCAUUCCUCCAUUUCUUCAGAGUUAUAAUUAAGAAAAGACAGAAGUUUCUGUUUCUUUCUCUUAGAUUUUGUUUCGAUUUUUGGUUUGAAGUGCAUGGAGUUCACUUUAGUUCGACACUGUGUUGUGUCCAGUGUGCGUGAAGAUCGCUGGUGAGGUUCGAGUCGGAGAAUCUGUGAUUGGGUUUCCUCUUGCCGUUAGUUUCUGUUCGGAGAUCUAGAGGUCGAUUUCUACUUCUCUUAGUUCUAUUUGAUGUUGUUUGGGAUCAUCUGCUUGUUUUAUACGAACUCAUUUGAAGUUAAUUCAACAAAUUAAUUUCCAUGGUUACUAGCUUGAUAGUUUACCUCUAAAGAUUGACUUGUCCCCGAAAGUUUCGUCCGGCUUUGUAGUAACUUUAGUUGAUGGAAUCAAAUCCGUGGUUUAAGCACAUUUAGAUGUAGUUAUGCUCGAACUGACUGAUGAUGUUUUCUUUGGAUUUCAAUGAAUCUAACGUUCCCCUAAUGAAACGUGGUUGGGAUUUAUUGCCUAUGAUUAUUUAAAACAUUGAAGGGAACUUGCACUUGAACGUAUAAAGGACAAAAAUCUAGUGGUGCAGAUGUCUUGUUUCAUUUUCAAGAGUAAGGAGAGAAUCUGAAACAUGUGUCCUCUCGAGUUCUUACUUCUCCCUUUCCCAAAAAUGCGUUCUUUGUAGAAUCAUUUUUUCAUUUCGAGACCAGGUAUAUGAUAGUUUCUUCCUUUCCUUUACUUAGCCGAGGGUCGAUUUGAAACAACCUCUCUGUCUUUUCGGGUAGGGAUAAAGCUCGUCUACAUAUUGCUCUUCCGGACCCCACUUUAUGGGACUAUACUGGAUAGUUGUUAUUGUAUAUGAUAGUUUCGUAUUUGUAAUUGGUCGAUGAUACACGCAUUUAGCCUUCAAAUUUCCU